GCGCGGUCCUGUUUUCACAAGUUCUGUGGGCUUCGCCUCACGUGGUGUGUCGGGGAGAACAGCGUGGGACUUGGAGUGGGCGCCUCAAUCUUUCCUAGAACCUGCAGGGGGAAGUGGUGGCGGUGGUGUAUCCCUAGACUCCCUGCGCAGCCGUGAACAGCAGUGCGGCCGCACAGCAAACAGUGGAGAAGACCCGAGGAGCCCGCCAAGCUCUGGUGCCCGGGGGAGUGGAGACGGCGCCGAAAGAGCCAAGGGCAACGCCAGUAUGCCAGUAUGCCGGAUGGUCCUGGCUGCUCUGGACUCCCCCAGGUUGUGAAGGCAGAGAAUAGGGCGGCCCGAUGGUGGAGAGAGCGGCCGUUGUGGAGAAGCUACCAAGUGGUCCGGAGCAGGAGGAGGAAGGCGAGGAAAGCCUGCGGUUUGACCUCAUGGUGCCUUUCCUGACCUUCGUGGAUGCAGAGACCUCGUGGUACCGGACCCGGGAUGAGGAGUCCCUGGAAGGAGCGGUUCACGGGUAGCUCGGAGUGGCUGGCAGGGACCUGGUGAUUCGAGUAACUGAGUAACUUCGAAAACUCCAGCCUCCUCCACAGCUCUGUCUCCUCCCUGCUCUGCCAGCCGGCUUUCUACAGUGGUGACUACCCUGAGGUUCUCGGUGCCUGAGUCCUUCAAGCCUCCUGUGGGGUAGGGGGCUGGGGCUCGCAGCGCUCCGACCCUCACCCACUGUACCCUUCCCUAGGGCAAAAAACGCACAACAGUUGCUUUGCCGGGGCAGGGAGGGUGGUGCUGGUGAUCUUUUCCCUGUGCUUGUCCUGGGAUGGCUCAAUGUUUGCCAACAUUGAAAAUAAAAUAAAGCUGAAACCGG